rnacentral:lncRNA from 1 species
GGAAGAGUAUGAAAAAAAUAUGGAGACAUAAAAGUAGUUAUGUAAGUAAAAUAUAUGGUCUUCAGUUUUUGAAGGACUGGGCACCUAAUCUGUAUUCUUUCUGUCUAACUCUCUUCCUGUCAUCAUUCUAGAUGUGAAACAUUGGAAUGGAUGGGUGAAAACAACAUCUUGAGCUCAUGUUUAAUGAUCUACCACAGCCAUAUCUUGGGACCUGGGAUUUUCUCCACUUCUUCUAAAGUGCAAUUGGCAAUAAGGUCAUGGAGGUUUUGAACCGGAGAGUUAAUAUGAAAACCAUGUAUCAUGCUUUGAGAAGACGAAUCUGGUCACAUCAAAGGGUAAGACAAUGUGAAGAGCAAGGAGAAGAGCAACUUCUCCAGUUCAAGUUCUGGCUCCAGCCCAAAUGCAGAUGCAAGCAGGAUUCCAGGGUUGGAGAGCUACAAGGAAUGAAAAGAAAUACAAAAUAUGUGUUGGGAACCUAUGCAACAAGAUGUAGAGGAAGAAGUUAAGCCUGGAGUGUGUGUUAUAGAAGUGUUUGCUGAUAGGUUGAAAAUAAUUGGAGAAGGUGUGAUCUGAGAGGGCUAAAAAAUGUGAACCUAAGAUGAAAGGUAGGCUCUUAGAGUGGGGAAAAGGCUAGAGAAAGCCUCAUCCUUUGCUCAGAAAAGAUCAAUGACUGUUGAGUGUCGAUGUUCAGUAUGGCUUCCGUUCUCCUCCCUUUUAAAAAAUACAGCUUUAUUGAGUAACAAUUGACAUACAAUAAACUGCAUAUAUUUAAGGUGUAGAAUUUGAUAAGUUUUGAAAUAUGUAUACAUCUGUGAAAUCAUCACUCCCCAAAAGUGUCCUCAUGCCCCUUUGUAACCUCUUUCUCCUGACCCUCACUGCCACCCCAACUCUGUCCCCAGGCAAACACUCAUCUAUAUUCUGCCAUUACAGAUUCGUUUAAAUUUUCUAGAAUUCCAUAUAAAUGAAGUAACACAAUAUAUUCACCCUUUGGGUUGACUUUUUUCACUCAACAAAAGUAUUUUGAGAUUUAUAC